rnacentral:rRNA from 1 species
UACGUAGGGUCCGAGCGUUGUCCGGAAUUACUGGGCGUAAAGAGCUCGUAGGUGGUUUGUCGCGUUGUUCGUGAAAACUCACAGCUCAACUGUGGGCGUGCGGGCGAUACGGGCAGACUUGAGUACUGCAGGGGAGACUGGAAUUCCUGGUGUAGCGGUGGAAUGCGCAGAUAUCAGGAGGAACACCGGUGGCGAAGGCGGGUCUCUGGGCAGUAACUGACGCUGGAGGAGCGAAAGCCGUGGGAGCGAACAGG